rnacentral:rRNA from 1 species
AGUGAACGCUGGCGGUAGGCCUAACACAUGCAAGUCGAACGGCAGCACAGUAAGAGCUUGCUCUUACGGGUGGCGAGUGGCGGACGGGUGAGGAGUACAUCGGAAUCUACUUUUUCGUGGGGGAUAACGUAGGGAAACUUACGCUAAUACCGCAUACGACCUACGGGUGAAAGCAGGGGAUCUUCGGACCUUGCGCGAUUGAAUGAGCCGAUGUCGGAUUAGCUAGUUGGCGGGGUAAAGGCCCACCAAGGCGACGAUCCGUAGCUGGUCUGAGAGGAUGGUCAGCGACACUGGAAGUGAGACACGGACCAGACUCCUACGGGAGGCAGCAGUGGGGAAUAGUGGACAAUGGGCGCAAGCCUGAUCCAGCCAUACCGCGUGGGUGAAGAAGGCCUUCGGGUUGUAAAGACCUUUUGUUGGGAAAGAAAAGCAGCAGGUUAAUACCCCGCUGUUCUGACGGUACCCAAAGAAUAAGCACCGGCUAACUUCGUG